rnacentral:rRNA from 1 species
UACGUAGGGUCCAAGCGUUGUCCGGAUUUAUUGGGCGUAAAGAGCUCGUAGGCGGCUCAGUAAGUCGGAUGUGAAAACUCGGGGCUCAACCCCGAGACGCCAUCAGAUACUGCUGUGGCUUGAGUCUGGUAGGGGAACACGGAAUUCCUGGUGUAGCGGUGAAAUGCGCAGAUAUCAGGAGGAACACCGAUGGCGAAGGCAGUGUUCUGGGCCAGUACUGACGCUGAGGAGCGAAAGCGUGGGUAGCAAACAGG